rnacentral:lncRNA from 1 species
UCGUUUCAGGCUCUUCAGUGUCAGUGCUCAGUAUCUGCCUUAGAGAACUACGAGAAGGGGCUGCUAGCAGCCGCCAUCCGGGGCACUGGGUGGCUGCAGGUGGUGGUGGCGAUGGAACGGUAGGAGGGCGGCCAGCAGCGGGAGCUUCUCCUGCCGGGCAGGAGGACGAGUAGAAGGGAGAGGCACCACCACAUGCUGGAGGCUGGAGCUUGCACCGCCGCAGCUCGCCUCACUGCAGUUGGAGGUGACGUUGGACACUACAGCUUGGCCAGAGUGGUAGAAAUGUUGUUGCAUAGGAUUACCAGGAGACACCAGGUGCUGCAGCAGCUUCGGGAUAACUUGAGGAUGCAUCCUGGGGAAGAGGGACAGCUUCGGUGUGGCUUUUCUGCGGCCAGCUUCUUUGAGGCCUUUUUCUUUCAUGGAUGGUAGAGAGCAGUCUACAGCCUGAGACCCAUCACAAGGUUCCUUGUGAGACACCUGGGGGACUCCAAACAGCCGGAAUCCAUCUGCCCACUGGUCCGGAGACAGGGAUCCUCCGCCUCCUUCCAGGGUUGAUGGCUCAGGAGGCCUUCUCUGCAGGGGACCAGGACACAGGAAAGCCAGGAAGAGAUGAGCUGGGAAGGGAGCUGUUGGGGGCCAUUCUGGUUUUAAAAAUAAAGCAGGACUUUCGUUGCUUGUUAUAAAAGGAACACAUGCUCAUUUUCUGUGAUUUAGGAAAGCGCAGAAAAGUAAAAGGGAAAGAAGAACGUAGCCGCUGCCUAGCAC